AGCACUCCUGUGUUAGUGUUAUUUGUUGUUGUUUUGUUUUAGCUAUUUUAUUGGAUUCCACCCUAAUCCCUUCCAACUCCCCAACACUAGGUAGGAGGGAAAGAAGGUUAGAGGGAAAAGAGCAUGGAGACCUCUAUAGGCUACUUCCUGCUGAUUAGGGAUGUUGGGUUUUGUGAGGCAAGUCCAGUCUUCAUUGUCAAAAUAUCCAGCAGUCCAGUAAUCCAGCAAUAUAGCAAUAACAAACACAGCAGCAACCAUAGCAACAGGCAGGGGCAGCAGCCAACACAUCUUCUCAGUGCUCUCCCAUUUAUACCCUUCCCAGAGUCCCCAGAAUUAAACUAUCUGCAUCUGGCAAAAACCACACACCAGCUAGUGCAUGAGGCAAAUCAUAGUCACCUGCUGUGGAGCAGCCUUUUAUUCCAUACCUGGGAAGGAAUGCGUGUGUGUGUGUGUGUGUGUGUGUGUGUGUGUGUGUGUGUGUGUGUGUGUGUAUUAUAUAACUGAGUUUUUUUAGGAAGCCAAAGUUCUCACUGCACUACUGGGAUAUGUAAACCCCACCCCCCUGUUACUUGAUCUAAACUUACUUUACAGGAAAAAAAAAAUUCUUUUUUGAGAUAGGAUUUCUUUAUGUAGCCCUUACUGCCCUAGCACUCACUCUGAAGACCAAGAUGGGUGCAAACUCGGAGACCACCUGUUUCUGCUUCCCAAGUGCAAAGUGUGCACCACCACCAUCCUGCCACAGAAGAAAUUUUAAAAGCAAAAAACCAGAAGUUGA
rnacentral:lncRNA from 1 species